AGAAUUUCUCACUUCAAAGCAUCGCACAAUUGACCUGCAGAAUGAAAUGACCGUGGCUGUUAGCAGUUGCAGUGCUCCUUUACACCUGGUGACCCCUGUUUCCAUGUGCCCAGCUCCCAGAAGUAACCAACAAGUUGCCCAGAAAGAGGUCCCUGUUUGCUGGAGACUGUGCAAACACAAAGUAAUCAAUGCUCCCCGUCGUGGGAAAACGCACGGCUUGCGUGGAAGGGAUGGAGAAAGGGGAAGAAUGAGUUAGCAGCAGGUAGAUGUUUUUGUGUGCUCGGGUCAUAAAGGGUCUCAGCUCAGAAGUGGGUUUAUCAGUUAAACAGAAGGAAAUGAGCGGUGGAUGAGGGGCAGGCAGGAGGGAGAGAAGAAAAAGAUCUUCUCUUCUGAUGCAGCCACACCCACAGCCACGAAUGCAGGCCCAAGCUAUGCGUAAUCUGGAAAAGGCUUCUGGCAGAGCGCGGGCAUCCCUGCACUUGUGCUUGCUGGCAGUGCCAUGGAGUCUGUCCAAGGGAGGGUGGCUUUGUCCCUGUAAUUAUACCUAAGCUUAGCCUUUCCAAACAAAGCGAUGCCAGGACCGGUCCGUCACGCUUUUCCAGUCAAAGUAAAUACAAGGAACUUCUCAUCCUGCAGAAACAACCCACAUCAGUUCUGUAAUGAUUAUUAUGGAUGCUUGUUGUAAGUAAUGCUACUAAGUGCACCUGUUUCUGAUACCAUUCCUACCA
rnacentral:lncRNA from 1 species